UCGAGUCCCGCCGCGGUUA
rnacentral:snRNA from 1 species